AUUUAUUUUGGCCCUACAAACCAUAUGGUGAGACCAUUCCUUUUGUGUCAAUUUCAUUUCUCUUUGAUUUUUUAUUAAUUCAUUAAGAAAAAAAAUGGUUAUACAUGAUGCACUUCUUUCACUUUGUUUUUCUUUCCCCCAAUGGUCAUUCUGAUUUAUGAAUGCCAUGACUAUUUGUAGGAUGCUGGAAUAUACGAAGCUGUUGCAAGAAGUGACUUUGUCAUUACUAGAGUUGCAUUUCGAGACAACUCUUUAAAGUGCUACAUAAAUGACCGUGGAAGUAAUUUUACAGAGGUCACUAAGAAAUCGAAAGGAAAAGGAGUGGACUUAGACAACAAUCGGUUUUUGAUUCUUCAGGGUGAAGUCGAACAAAUUUCUCUAAUGAAGCCAAAGAUUUGUAUUUUCAGCAUUAUUGUAAUUGUAAUUGUAAUUGAUUAAAUGAAGGAUUGUAAUUGAUUGUAAUUGUAAUUGAUUGAAUGAAGGAUUGUAAUUGAUUGUAAUUAAAUGAAUGAAUGAUUGUAAUUGA